UACGUAGGGGGCAAGCGUUGUCCGGAUUUAUUGGGCGUAAAGAGCGUGUAGGCGGCCAUGUAGGUCCGUUGUGAAAACUCGAGGCUCAACCUCGAGAUGCCGAUGGAAACCAUGUGGCUAGAGUCCGGAAGAGGAGAGUGGAAUUCCUGGUGUAGCGGUGAAAUGCGCAGAUAUCAGGAAGAACACCCGUGGCUAAGGCGGCUCUCUAGUACGGUACUGACGCUGAGACGCGAAAGCGUGGGGAGCGAACAGG
rnacentral:rRNA from 1 species